ACGCGUGGAACCUUACCAGGUCUUGACAUCCCGCUGACCGUCCUGGAGACAGGAUUUUCCCUUCGGGGACAGCGGUGACAGGUGGUGCAUGGUUGUCGUCAGCUCGUGUCGUGAGAUGUUGGGUUAAGUCCCGCAACGAGCGCAACCCUUGAUCUUAGUUGCCAGCAUUUAGUUGGGCACUCUAAGGUGACUGCCGGUGACAAACCGGAGGAAGGUGGGGAUGACGUCAAAUCAUCAUGCCCCUUAUGACCUGGGCUACACACGUGCUACAAUGGAUGGUACAAAGGGCUGCAAGACCGCGAGGUUUAGCCAAUCCCAUAAAACCAUUCUCAGUUCGGAUUGCAGGCUGCAACUCGCCUGCAUGAAGCUGGAAUCGCUAGUAAUCGCGGAUCAGCAUGCCGCGGUGAAUACGUUCCCGGGCCUUGUACACACCGCCCGU
rnacentral:rRNA from 1 species